AAGGACUCGUUACAAGAGUGGUUUGAGUGAAGUCAGCUGAUCAAAACACUAGCUUGUUUCAUCCUAAGUUAUACUGUCUCAGAAGAGCCUCUUUGUUUCUACUUUGUACAUAGCAAGACUUAAUUUUACCCUCAUUUAUAAUUAAUUUUCUAAAACAAACCACCUUUGGAGUUGUUGCUUUGUUUGGCAUAUCCUGAAGAGUGUAAAGAUAGCAAUGUAUGUGAAUAGAUGUCACAUGUGCUUUCCAGAAAUAAGUUGGGGUGUGGCUGUGAAGUCACAGUUGAGCACUGACAUUGCCUCACUUCCUGCUCCUUGCUCUACUCUCCCUCUGGAGCUUUCGGCACACAGGGUCACCCCUGAUGCUGGUCAUCAUCAUUGCUAUGGGGAACGAAUAGCAUUUUGAUUUCUCAGCCCUGACUGCUAGGGUUUACUGAGUGUGAAUUCUAUAUGGAGCUGAGAUCUGUGAAUCAGCAACUAAGAGAAUCAAGCCUUUUGCAUUUGAUAAGAAUGGACAUGGUUUUCCUGAAGGUAUUCAAUCCACAUUGGAUGUUCUAGAUCAGUUCUCACAUAAGGCAGCCGUCAAACCCUGGCUUCCAGCCCCAGGCUGCAGAUGCUAACUGGGAAUCCAGCACGAAACUAUACAGAAGAAAGUUUCUGUUCUCUCUGCAAAAACCAUAAGGGGAAACCCUUGAUCAGGCGAGUAGAUCAUAUAACCAAAUCUACAAAACUAAUGACUGGAUUUUUUUUUUUUUUUUUUGUACACAAACUUUGAAAUAAA
rnacentral:lncRNA from 1 species